UACGGGGGGGGCAAGCGUUGUUCGGAAUUACUGGGCGUAAAGGGCUCGUAGGCGGCCAACUAAGUCAGACGUGAAAUCCCUCGGCUUAACCGGGGAACUGCGUCUGAUACUGGAUGGCUUGAGUUUGGGAGAGGGAUGCGGAAUUCCAGGUGUAGCGGUGAAAUGCGUAGAUAUCUGGAGGAACACCGGUGGCGAAGGCGGCAUCCUGGACCAACACUGACGCUGAGGAGCGAAAGUGUGGGGAGCGAACAGG
rnacentral:rRNA from 1 species